CAAGGGAUCGAAGCUCCUCUUUCUUCUCAACAGACAGGGUACUGUAUGCUAAUCUUAGAGUGUGAUUUAUGAUCUCCAGUGCCUCACAAUACUUUCGCAAUGAAGACAGUGCCCUGCAUAACUAUGGAUGGCAUACAAUUAAGUACCAAAAAAUGGAAGAUG